rnacentral:tRNA from 1 species
GGGGGCGUGGCGAAGAUGGUUAUCGCGCCGGCCUGUCAAGCCGGAGACCGCGGGUUCAAGUCCCGUCGCUCCCG